UAUUGCCCAGUUUACACUCCAGUUCUCGUACGAUCACCGAAGUUAAGAAACGUCAAGCCUGGUCAGUACCUAGAUGGGUGACCGUCUGAGAAUGCUAGGUGCUGCAUU